GUUUUACUAAGCGAAUAUGGGAAAUGAUGGAGCUAUUCUAGCAAACUGAUGUAUUGAUUUCUAAAGCUCUGGCCCUGAGAGAUGGGAUAAACAUAGAGGGAAGCAGAGGAGGGUCCACAGCCGCCAGUUAUGAUCUAAUUUCAGUUCUUAGCCGACUCUGCCAAGCGCCCUUCGAGUACUGGCUGGAAAAUGCAGCUAAUUCGAUGAAAUUCAGCCGCCCAAUACCCCCAUUUCGAUGUCGAAUGCAUUAAGACUAAGCGAAUUAAGUAUUUAAUGUUUAAAUACGUGAUAUAGAGUGCAUGUUGCACAUUGUAUUAUAUGCAAAUAUUUGUGAGAAUUUCUGGCAAAGGCAAAUACAAGUAAAUCAAACA
rnacentral:sRNA from 1 species